UAAAUUUCACAGAGAGGACAUACAUGACAUAUUCAUAAUUUCUGCAAAGUUCUAAAGAAUUUGAGGUUGGCUGCAAAUUAAGGGACAUAGUAUAUCUUUAAGUAGUAGGGCAAUUUCACGGAAACGGAAUUACAAACUAGAGAUUUGUAGCUUGCUUUUUUAAAGUUUGUGUGCUUAUUUUGUACUCUGCUGCCUCUCUUCUCGCCAUCAUACUCUGCAAAUUAAAUAUGCCAAUUCUCUCACCUGAAUUCUUUCAUUGCAAAAAAUUUGUAAUUACCAUGGACAUUAAUCAUAUUGUUAAUAAUGUACCUCGAUCGACAUCUUGAAUUACCAGGGUAUGGUGCCACAUUCAAACCAAUAAAUAAGUCUUGUAAAAAAAAUGCAUUGUACCAAUAUUAAUUGUCAUGGUGGAAUUCUUUAUUGAUGAACCUUCUUUUAAUUCAAGGAGUUGGUUAUCUGAAUGAUCAGGAAUCUGAAUCUGAGUUAGGUGAUUGCUAGGUAGAGUUAGUUAGGUCAUUGUUAGGUGGAGUUAAUUGACUGUGAUUCAUAACUCUGAUGUAACUUCUCCAUGUAAUGAGAACAGUGUAGUUUGGUGUAGAUAAUAUAAAGUUGUAUCACACCCUGUAUAUAUGUAUUUCUUUUAACAUACAUGUGUAAAAGAAAAGGAAAAGAAUUCUGUAUGCACUUUAUCUGACACAUGUCAUAGAUGUCAUUACAAUGGUAUUUUGUAGUGGAUACUUACAACUUUGGUUUAACAGAUCACUAAUAUAAAACGUAUUGUGCCAGUUUUUUUUUCAUUUUACAUGAUGUAGAAAACAUGCCAUAUGCAAAAGUUAGAUUGCAUGUGUUUUCAUAAGUGUUUUGUAAGAGUGAAGUUGAUGGUUGCUAUGUUUUUGAAACUAAGUUUGUCUAGUGGGUUAAAGUAGAAGUGGUUUCAGGUGUAAACGCCAAAAUCUCAUUUUAAAAAGGGAGGAAUGUUAUAUAUGUGUCUGAAAAAAAAAAUGAAAGUAUGAGAUUGUUUAUUGUAUGUAUUGUUCAUCAUCAUCUCUAUUAUUUUUGUCAUACCUCACUCAAGAGGAGCUCGCUAAAGCUGUACAUUGGUCAAUACAGGUUUAAAGCCAAGCAAUUCCAAGUAUUUUAGGGGUUUAUCUGUACAGCAUUUAUCGCAGAACACUACAUAACAUCCAUUUCAACAAAUCGUCUCUAGUUUUUCCCCCUUUUUCAUCAUCUCUAUAAUUAAUCAUAAUAAUUAUAAAUAUCAGUUUCUUUUACUUUUUUCAUCAUUUAACGAUUAUUUUAAUGCUUCAUAGAGGAUUGGAGCCCGCUUUAGCUGUACGUAGAUCAAUACAGGUUUUAAGCCAGGCGAUUCAAAGUUUUUUAAGGGUUAUUCCAUUUAUCUCAGAACACUGUUAUAAGUUUCAUCAAAAUCGUCACCUCAUUUUCCUUUUUUCAUCAUUUUCUAUGAUUAUUUUAAUACUUCGCAGACUGAUUGGAGCCCGUCAUAAGAGUUUCGGAGCCCGCUUUAGCUGUACGUACAUCAAUGCAGGUUUAAAGCCUGCCGAUUCCAAGUAUUUUAGGGAUUGAAACUGCUGAAGAGCUGGAAGGAGUUAACUGACGAGUAGACAUUACAACAUUACUUAUAUUUGCAAGAUGAAGCUGAAAGUGCCAUGCAGGAUGAUGCUUCUCUACAGUGGAUGAUGAAUGCAUGCUGAUUACAAACCCAGGAGAGGAACAAAGAACAGAUAUUGACAGAAUCAUAUUUAGAGAUGCGGGCCUACCACACCUCGUACGAGCAAGUGUGCUAAUAUGCAAUACUUGGGUUAUCAUUACAGCCCUUUCUUCUGAAAACUAUGCUAUAACUGUAUUGAUGAAUGCAGGAGACAUCUACAUGGGACUACGUCUUAAAGAUGUCACCCUCAUAUAAUGAAAGAGGACAGUAGAGAUGGGUUUAAAUUUGAGUAUUUACAUGAUAUUUAUUUAUUAUUAGUAUUAUAUGUUUGUAGAAUACCACAUUCAAUAAAGCUAAUGAAUUUAUCAUCUUGUCAACUUUUAAAUAAUUACAGAUUAUUACAGAACAUUAAAAUUUUAACAAUGUCAAUUACCAUCUUAUAGGAGGACUGGGCAGAAAUUUUUUCCUUGAAAUUUGAGUGAUAAAGAUCUAAUUACUUGUAUGUUAAACGCUUAGAAACAUUGAAUUAAGCGCUUUAUAAAUGUAAUUUAUUAUUAUUAUUAUUAUUAUCAAUCUAU
rnacentral:lncRNA from 1 species